UACGGGGGGGGGCAAGUGUUGUUCGGAAUUACUGGGCGUAAAGGGCGCGUAGGCGGCCUGCUAAGUCGGAUGUGAAAUCCCUCGGCUCAACCGAGGAACUGCAUCCGAUACUGGCGGGCUUGAAUCCGGGAGAGGGAUGUGGAAUUCCAGGUGUAGCGGUGAAAUGCGUAGAUAUCGGGAGGAACACCAGUGGCGAAGGCGACUACCUGGCCUGUUCUUGACGCUGAGGCGCGAAAGCUAGGGGAGCAAACGGGG
rnacentral:rRNA from 1 species